GAUGACACCAUUGUGAUGGCAACUGGAAACCAUGGUCUGCUCCCUUCCUCUGACUGGUAGCACACAUAAGUGCGUAGAGUAGCUUCUCCUAGUGGGGAUAUGCCCCUGCAGUGCAAUGCAAUGCACAUCCCUUGGUGCUAUCACAGCACGAUGACAUGGAUUCAUCAUGUAGAGGAACAAUGCCUGCUUAGCAUGAUGGGGCAAUAUCUCUGAAGUGGUCUCCAUAAAGAUACUGAAUCCUCCCACCAGGAGAAGCCAGCCAGUACUACGGUUUGAGCGCAAAAAUACACAAAUCAUGCUGAAAACUCCAUGCUGCUUCCCUGAACCCUGGGCAGGACAGGAUAUUGCAGCCUGGUUUGGCACAUGUCACAGGAAGAGGGGCUGGAUUCUGCAAAGAUUGUCACCUGAACAGAAAACCCUGCAGGCCUCAUGAAACCCAGGCCUUCGAGGAAUGCACAGAGCAAUGGGAGCCAUCUCAGCAAGGUGGAAGACAUCAAGACAGAAAAUAAUGAGCUAUCUAGAGGCAAGCAAUGAAUACAUUACAGAAUCACAGAGUGA